UACAGAGGGUGCGAGCGUUAAUCGGAAUUACUGGGCGUAAAGGGUGCGUAGGUGGCGGGGCAAGUCUGGUGUGAAAUCCUGGGGCUCAACCCCGGAACUGCACUGGAUACUGCUUUGCUAGAGUACUGGAGAGGGAACUGGAAUUUACGGUGUAGCAGUGAAAUGCGUAGAUAUCGUAAGGAAGACCAGUGGCGAAGGCGAGUUCCUGGACAGUUACUGACACUGAGGCACGAAGGCCAGGGGAGCAAACGGG
rnacentral:rRNA from 1 species